rnacentral:tRNA from 1 species
CUAAGGAAAAUGGAAGCACGUUUGGGAUCUUUAUUUAGUUUUGAGAGGUCUUUGUGGGGCCUUAGCUCAGCUAAGCGACAACGAAUGUUGGCGCUUUGUCGAAACUAGCGGAGCUAGUGCACGACAGGGAACAGCGAAAGACAACAAAGAUAUAGUAAAGAAAGUACUAAUAAAGUAUUAACCCGUUUAUUAGUCGGGGCCUUAGCUCAGCUGGGAGAGCGCCUGCUUUGCACGCAGGAGGUCAGCGGUUCGAUCCCGCUAGGCUCCAUAGGAUACAUCCUAACAACAAUUAACAAAUUGAAGUUGAACACGCAACUAACUUCUUAGGAAAAUAGAGUAUCUUCCUAGUGUGCAAGCACACAGUGUCAGAUACCUAAUUUUCUAAAGAAGUUUCGCAAAAGCGAACGUUGCUUAGUAUCCUAGUGAUAGUCCAUUGAAAAUUGAAUAUCUAUAUCAAAUUCCACAAUCAAUAAAAAAAUUGAUUGUAAGAAUAGUAACAAGAAAAUAAACCGAAAACGCUGUAAGUAUUUAAUGAGUUUAGAUCGCAAGAUCAAAAAUAA